ACCAAUGGGAGCCCGACGAGCAGGUGGUGCUUCCUAUUGACUGAUCUCAAGCCAAAGUCAGAACAAAAGAAACACUUAAUUCACUUAAUUCAGACAAUGAUGUUGGUCUAAUGGAUUAUAGACCAGAGUGGAGAAGAUCAGAAAAAAGAUGUGAACAGAUAUGCCUUCAAUAAGAAGAAGAAUAAAGAUGUGAAUCAAGUGUUGUGGAGAUAAAACAGGGUAAAGCUUGGAUCUGGAGACCAGGCAUCCUAAAACUGCAGGCUUUGGUCCAAUUCUGAAGACAACUGGAGAAAACAUGCACACACAGCAUCACCUCUGCCCAUUUCCUUUUUAUCAUGGAGACUUGUUUCCUGUAUACUCUUGAAAUAAACAAAUGAACAAGCCUGGAUAAAAUGAAGACUUGAAUGUUACAACUCCGUUUUGUAAUUGAUUAGUUCUUCAACAGGAAAAA